AGUGAACGCUGGCGGUAGGCCUAACACAUGCAAGUCGAACGGCAGCACAGUAAGAGCUUGCUCUUACGGGUGGCGAGUGGCGGACGGGUGAGGAAUACAUCGGAAUCUACUUUUUCGUGGGGGAUAACGUAGGGAAACUUACGCUAAUACCGCAUACGACCUACGGGUGAAAGCAGGGGAUCUUCGGACCUUGCGCGAUUGAAUGAGCCGAUGUCGGAUUAGCUAGUUGGCGGGGUAAAGGCCCACCAAGGCGACGAUCCGUAGCUGGUCUGAGAGGAUGAUCAGCCACACUGGAACUGAGACACGGUCCAGACUACUACGGGAGGCAGCAGUGGGGAAUAUUAGACAAUGGGCGGAAGCCUGGUCCAGCCAUACCGCGUGGGUGAAGAAGGCCUUCGGGUUGUAAUGCCCUUUUGUUGGGAAAGAAAAGCAGCAGGUUAAUACCCCGCUGUUCUGACGGUACCCAAAGAAUAAGCACCGGCUAACUUCGUG
rnacentral:rRNA from 1 species